rnacentral:rRNA from 1 species
AACGAACGCUGGCAGCAGGCUUAACACAUGCAAGUCGAGCGCCCCGCAAGGGGAGCGGCAGACGGGUGAGUAACGCGUGGGAACGUACCCUUUGCUACGGAAUAGCUCCGGGAAACUGGAAUUAAUACCGUAUGUGCCCUACGGGGGAAAGAUUUAUCGGCAGAGGAUCGGCCCGCGUUGGAUUAGCUAGUUGGUGGGGUAAUGGCCUACCAAGGCGACGAUCCAUAGCUGGUCUGAGAGGAUGAUCAGCCACAUUGGGACUGAGACACGGCCCAAACUCCUACGGGAGGCAGCAGUGGGGAAUAUUGGACAAUGGGCGCAAGCCUGAUCCAGCCAUGCCGCGUGAGUGAUGAAGGCCUUAGGGUUGUAAAGCUCUUUCACCGGAGAAGAUAAUGACGGUAUCCGGAGAAGAAGCCCCGGCUAACUUCGUGCCAGCCGCCGCAGUAAGAC